rnacentral:rRNA from 1 species
CUAUCAUGCAGUCGAGCGGACAGAUGGGAGCUUGCUCCCUGAUGUUAGCGGCGGACGGGUGAGUAACACGUGGGUAACCUGCCUGUAAGACUGGGAUAACUCCGGGAAACCGGGGCUAAUACCGGAUGCUUGUUUGAACCGCAUGGUUCAAACAUAAAAGGUGGCUUCGGCUACCACUUACAGAUGGACCCGCGGCGCAUUAGCUAGUUGGUGAGGUAAYGGCUCACCAAGGCAACGAUGCGUAGCCGACCUGAGAGGGUGAUCGGCCACACUGGGACUGAGACACGGCCCAGACUCCUACGGGAGGCAGCAGUAGGGAAUCUUCCGCAAUGGACGAAAGUCUGACGGAGCAACGCCGCGUGAGUGAUGAAGGUUUUCGGAUCGUAAAGCUCUGUUGUUAGGGAAGAACAAGUGCCGUUCAAAUAGGGCGGCACCUUGACGGUACCUAACCAGAAAGCCACGGCUAACUACGUGCCAGCAGCCGCGGUAAUACGUAGGUGGCAAGCGUUGUCCGGAAUUAUUGGGCGUAAAGGGCUCGCAGGCGGUUUCUUAAGUCUGAUGUGAAAGCCCCCGGCUCAACCGGGGAGGGUCAUUGGAAACUGGGGAACUUGAGUGCAGAAGAGGAGAGUGGAAUUCCACGUGUAGCGGUGAAAUGCGUAGAGAUGUGGAGGAACACCAGUGGCGAAGGCGACUCUCUGGUCUGUAACUGACGCUGAGGAGCGAAAGCGUGGGG